GACGAACGCUGGCGGCGUGCUUAACACAUGCAAGUCGAACGAGGUCCACCGCGUAGCAAUACAAGGGAAGACCUAGUGGCGAACGGGUGCGUAACACGUGAGGAACUUGUCCCGGUCUCUGGGAUAACAGUUGGAAACGACUGCUAAUACCAGAUGACGUCGGAAUCUCGCAUGGGAUACUGACGAAAGGGUUACUGGAUCGGGAGAGCCUCGCGGCCUAUCAGCUUGUUGGUGAGGUAACGGCUCACCAAGGCGUCGACGGGUAGCUGGUCUGAGAGGAUGAUCAGCCACACUGGGACUGAGACACGGCCCAGACUCCUACGGGAGGCAGCAGUGGGGAAUCUUGCGCAAUGGGCGAAAGCCUGACGCAGCAACGCCGCGUGCGGGAAGAAGGCCCUCGGGUUGUAAACCGCAUUCAGUAGGACGAAAAUGACGGUACCUGCAGAAGAAGGUGCGGCCAACUACGUGCCAGCAGACGCGGUAAAGUAGUCGUGU
rnacentral:rRNA from 1 species